CAGUAGCCGCGGGAAUACGAAGGGUGCGAGCGUUAAUCGGAAUUACUGGGCGUAAAGCGUGCGCAGGCGGUUCGUUAAGACAGAUGUGAAAUCCCCGGGCUUAACCUGGGAACUGCAUUUGUGACUGGCGAGCUAGAGUAUGGCAGAGGGGGGUAGAAUUCCACGUGUAGCAGUGAAAUGCGUAGAGAUGUGGAGGAAUACCGAUGGCGAAGGCAGCCCCCUGGGCCAAUACUGACGCUCAUGCACGAAAGCGUGGGGAGCAAACAGGAUUAGAGACCCCUGUAGUCCCUGUCUCUUAUAC
rnacentral:rRNA from 1 species